CUUGGCAGAGCUACAUUUCCUGGGCCGCCGUCCAUGCAGGCUGCGUUUACUGACCUAUAGUAACUUUCAACAGCUUCCCUGGUUCAGGACGGUGGCAGCACGGCUAACGGCUAACGGCUAGCAGCAGACAGUUCAGUUCCCUUACACUAUGAUGCGUUCAGGCUCUGUUCAGUGAAAAUGAGUAUUGGGCUAAGCAUACACUCCCUACCAAGGAAAAUCAUUUCAGCUGAGUGAUAAGGAGUUCCCGUCCUGUCACAAGGGACCUGAACGCCUCCCUGGAAAGAGGAAGUUGGCAGAGUUCCCGGCGGGGUCCCGAGGUCACAGCGCAGCGUCGAGGAGCGGCGCUCGAUGACAUGAAGCAACCACUCGAACGUGACUCCUACACCUGCGGCGAGGGUCCAAAGUUCAGCCUGCACACGCUCAGUGAGGCCCAGAAUAGAUGAAACAAUAGGUGGCUGACGUUUCCGUCAGUCAUUAUUCACGUCGCAGAGGGCGUAUGAAUCUGUAUAACGCGCUUGUAAGUGUAACGCUACAUGCUUUAAAUACUGUAUUGAGCUAUUCACAUGUUUUACAACCUAUACUUCCAGCCUCUCCUGUAGACCAGCAGCCUGCAGUUCAUCACAUGUGAUGUGUUCAAGGGCCGUCUGAAAGAUGAAAAUGUGAUCACGACAUGUGCUGAUACAUCAUGGCGAUUGUUUAAAGAAACAACACGUGGGUUUUUAUGUUCAACCAACACGUUUUAAUUUAUUUGGCCACAAUCUGUGAUAGAUCCGCUAAAAAAAAAGAACCGGGGAAACAUAAACCCAAGAUAAACUUUUACUUGCAACGAAUAUGUGCUCAGAUAACUAGCUCUAACGAUUCUGAAACAUUUUUUUUACAGAUAAAACGUCACGCUGAAACGUCGCCUCGGCAACAAGCUGAACGAAUCUAGCUCGCAAAAUGAAAAUGGUUUUCUGAUACAUUUUGGGAUGGCGUUACUCUACGGCACCACGUGGGCUACAGAUCAUCGUGGCGUUGUCGCGGCUGCUCUCGAAGUCGCAGUACGAUACACGCCGCCGGCGUUGCAGGCAGGCUUUGUUUGCAUGGGUGUGUGUCAGCGCAUUGCCAGUCACGUGUCUUUACACGCGCUUAUGACUCGUACCUUUUGCAUCAAUUUGAAACCUCAGCAAAAACAUGCAUACGUUGGCCAAAAUCCUUUGUAAUGGCCCACUCAAAGUCAAGGAGAGAUCGGAAGAUGGUAUCACAAAUUAACAUGUAUUUACCACAACUGCAAAGGUGACCACGUCUUGAUUUGAUAUGUAUGGACGUCUUCUAGGGGUGUGCAUCACUCCGUCUCAGAUAAAUCAAUGUGUGUCUGAGUCGGGCUCCUUUCCUCCCCAUGCCGCUUGCUAUUAUCAUCUGCUUGUAUUCUGGCCUUUUGUUUGAGAACACACAGUCGUUAUUCUGCAGCUUGAGUGUGGAGCGGCUAUAUGCUCAAAGGGCCUACAUGUGCCUUCUUUGAGGAUUCCCACGCAUCAGUGUUUGUCUUGCAACAGGACAAACCGCUCUUGGAGACUCCAGACCGCACGCCUCUCACAGACAGACUGAGAGUCGGCUUGUGUGUGUGCGCUCUCUUUUUGUGUCAGUUAACAGCGAUAAGUACCAGCGGAUGUUGGCGGCGUGACGAUGGUGCAGUCGAUCCGUUUGGCUCGCAUGUGGACCGCGGGUAAACUACACGGUGUCACGUACAGUGGGAAUUCAAGUUUUACUGACGAUAUUCAGUCAAAUAUGCUCAAAUAGGCUUUCUGUUCAAUAAUCUCUGAUAACGUUACAUUGUAAACAACCAGCCCGUGUGGAAAUCGGGUAACGGACAACGAAUGAAUGUUCGGUUACAUUAUGAUGCGUUUGUGAAAAACUUGAAUGAAUACAAUUGUUUGAAGGGGAUGUUUUUACAACAACAUAAAUGGAUAUUAGAGAAAUUAUUAUUAUUAUGAUCUCACUCUAAUAAUAAAUCAUUAAAACUACUAACGACAAAAUUUGUUUUAAUCUAUAAAAAUGCAAUUGUUUAUUUCCUUCGCAUUUUAA